AUUGAACGCUGGCGGCAUGCUUUACACAUGCAAGUCGAACGGUAACAGGUUAAGCUGACGAGUGGCGAACGGGUGAGUAAUGCAUCGGAACGUGCCCGAUCGUGGGGGAUAACGCAGCGAAAGCUGCGCUAAUACCGCAUACGAUCUGAGGAUGAAAGCAGGGGACCGUAAGGCCUCGCGCGAUCGGAGCGGCCGAUGUCAGAUUAGGUAGUUGGUGGGGUAAAGGCUCACCAAGCCAACGAUCUGUAGCUGGUCUGAGAGGACGACCAGCCACACUGGGACUGAGACACGGCCCAGACUCCUACGGGAGGCAGCAGUGGGGAAUUUUGGACAAUGGGCGAAAGCCUGAUCCAGCAAUGCCGCGUGCAGGAAGAAGGCCUUCGGGUUGUAAACUGCUUUUGUACGGAGCGAAAAGGUUCUCUCUAAUACAGAGGGCUCAUGACGGUACCGUAAGAAUAAGCACCGGCUAACUACGUGCCAGCCGCCGCCGUAA
rnacentral:rRNA from 1 species